CUGGACGAGUCAUAGAGUGUAGGCAGGGAGUAAAACAGGAUAUUGGCAGGGGAACAUUCGUUGUCAUGGCGAUUAAACCAGAUGAAGCCCCGCUACUACCAAGAGGUGGGCUGCUGGUUCUAACCCAAGAUAGUCUGAAUGUAGAGACAAAAGAGGAAGCUGAGAUCAGACGCGCCUUCGGCUCAGAUCUGUAUCGUAGGGCCAAAGCAAUGUCACAGGUAGAGGAAGAACAGGGGGACCUGUCUCCCGGAGACUUGAGGACACUGUUGGGCCCUGGUAAAUUAGGAAAACUAUAUUCAAGGGUAUCCCUGGGGCGGAUUGCUCGAGGGUCCCAUAGAGCGGAUUUAGCUAAAAUAUUCAACCAAGCGCUAUGUGACGUGGAAGACGAAAAUGAAGGAAUUCUGACGAUAAGACUUAGGGCCCAAACUGGUAAAUAUGUAGGUUUGUCUCCUGUGGAAUUCUACACUGAAGUAGCGGCAGCUUUCCCCUGGAGGGCUGUAUGUGAAAAUGUUGUAGUCAGAUUCCUGGUGCAAAAGCCAUUCGAGGAACAAUACCUAGUGCAAGCCCUAGCUGCGUCAGAGAGAGAGUAUAUGCGUCCGAAUGAACCGGAAGAAAGAGAGCUGGAAACAGACGAGGAUAGUGAGUAUGAUGAUGAUGACCUUUCACAAAUGAGCUCGUACCCUCCGAGACAAGUGAGAUCUGUAACGCCGUGCCCAUAUCGGCUCAAGAGCCCGGUGAGAAGUCAAAACCCUGUCCAUACAAGGGUUAAUGACAUCCCAGCUCCAGACAUCACUAUGUCCAGAGGACGCAGCCCCAGUAGACCAACUACUGUGAGAUUUCAAAAUUCACAGAAAGAAGGCCUAACGGAAAAAACACUUGUGAGAGGGAUAGAUAAGAGGUCAAAACCAGUCAUUUUAAGACUUCAGAAUACUGAAAAACCGCCUUGUAAAGGGCCUAGGUGGGUGACUACGUCGGGCUGGAACUAUGCACCACUGACCACCCACCAGGCUUAUGAAUAUGUAGAGGAAAAUAACCUUAGACCUGAAAUGGCUUGGUAUGAGGCGAGCAGAGAGGAAAGAGAGAUUAUUCCUCACAUUCCCUCGGCCGCUGACAUACUAGGAAUGGAUAAGGUUACUAAACCAUGGAAAGAUUCACAAAUGGCUUUAGGCUAUGAUUAUAUGAGAGACGGAUGCGAACGCCGUGAUAGAUCUGCAGAGAGAGAGCACUGUAGGAGGGUGGCUGAAAUGGAGGCGAGG
rnacentral:lncRNA from 1 species